rnacentral:rRNA from 1 species
CCUACGGGAGGCAGCAGUGAGGAAUAUUGCGCAAUGGACGAAAGUCUGACGCAGCCAUGCCGCGUGAAGGAUUGAAGGCCCUAUGGGUUGUAAACUUCUUUUGUAUAGGAAAAAACCCCUUUACGUGUAGAGGGCUGAUGGUACUAUAAGAAUAAGCACCGGCUAACUCCGUGCCAGCAGCCGCGGUAAUACGGAGGGUGCAAGCGUUAUCCGGAUUUAUUGGGUUUAAAGGGUCCGCAGGCGGACCGUUAAGUCAGUGGUGAAAGCCCACAGCUCAACUGUGGAAUUGCCAUUGAUACUGGCGGUCUUGAGUAUGUAUGAAGUUGGCGGAAUGUGUGGUGUAGCGGUGAAAUGCUUAGAUAUCACACAGAACACCGAUUGCGAAGGCAGCUGACUAAUACAUGACUGACGCUCAGGGACGAAAGUGUGGGGAUCAAACAGGAUUAGAUACCCUGGUAGUCCACACCGUAAACGAUANAUCACUAUAUUGUCGCAGUCAGAGUCAGACGAAGUAGUAGUAGANCACCGNGGGUAAGGUACGACCGCGAGUAGUUAACGUUACAANAGAGUUGCGGCGNGAGAGNGCGACGGACGACGACGAGGGAGGAGG